GCAAUGUCAGGGAUGUUGCCCCUUUUAUAAUAAAAGGAGAGAAAACAUCUGAAGUACAAUUCUACGAUGAAAAGCAAAGAAAUAAUGCCAAGAGUUGUUCAAUAGAAUUGUAGAUAGGAUUAUCCUGCUGUCUGAGAGUAGUUGCAUAUAAGGAACUAUCUAGAUAGAGUGCAAUUAGAAAUAGGGCAGAGGAACAGCUAGGUAAAAUUAACAAGAGUAAGCACUAGUUCCAUAUACUCAAAGCCCGGCACAUAGAGAGCAAUGCUGCUGAGAAUAAACACAAGUCCUAGGCUCUGUGUCCCGGAGGGUCCCCCAAUUCCUCCUCAUUCAGCCUAUGCCUUUAAGGGUUACUGCCCAAACCUGUAACCCCCAGAGGGACUCAUCCUUUACCUGUCUCAGUCCCCGACGUUAGGUUUAUCUGCUUGUGCACAUGGAGGUCUGCUGUAGAGUCACCACGGCUGGUUGUCGGUGUUGUUCGGGUCCAGCAUUCGUAAGAAUGCAGGCACUUCACGGCUUUUGUGCCAAGCUGUGAUUUGGAGGUGUGCUUGAGUGA